AUGGGGUUAUUAUACAUGUUUCAUGUACAUGUUUGCUUUUAUGACUUAUUGAACCUGCUAACCUAUGGCUUCUGUGAUGGAUGUACUAUCUGCUGAUCAUAUGAUGUCGUUGUGUCAUUGGGUGCAUUGUGCUUGGUUUGGUAGGAAGGAGGGAUGUGUUGUGCAAUUUGGAAAAUUUUGUUACAAGGAUGAAUGCUUGGUAGAUGUACAUUUUUUGAGUUUGUUUAGACUUUAAGCUAAUUCUAGCUUUGUUAUUAAAUGCAUGAAAUCAAAUGUGCAGACAAAGGAGGUGAAUAAACUUACCUCCUUGCCAAUUGCAUAUUUUUUUGGCUGACAUGAAUGAAUGUGGUUUAGACCAUCCUAAUAGGAAUUAUAUCUGUGUUUCUGUUAUUAAAUGUCGGUUGAUUUCUAUGAGAAUUUAAUGUUGUUCUGAUAAGGCUUCCCAAGGAACAAUUGCUGUCCUCACUUGCGGCUGUUUCAGACAAAUUUAUCAGCAAAAUAAGGGUCAUGUUAAGAAGCUCAUUCGUUUGCUGUUUUCUUACAGAGUAGCAUGGCCUUUCUAUUAAUGCAAGUAUAGCUGAUCAGGAGACAGUCCAAAGGCUGAUUUUGUAUUUGGGAGUAUCCAUCCUGAUUCAGAGGUUGCUGAUAAUAUCAUUUGGAGGACUUCUCCUGCUAUUGAUGUGGAUUCUAUCAAAUCGUUCAGAGAUAUGAAGCUGCUGCGUGUUCUUUUUAGUUGUAGUCCAAGUUGAAUUGUAACUCUUUUUUUAGGUCAAGCAUGAUCAGAGAACCAGCUGGAUAUUUUUGUGGGAAGAAGAGAAUUCGUAGGGUGAUCCCACCAUAUCUAUUGUAAUCAUCUAAGUUGGUUGUACCUCUUCUCUCUUUUCUUUUUGAACCGUAUACCAACUUCGUUGCUAAUGUGCUAUUGGUUUUCUGUUGUAAUCAUCUAGUGCCAAAUGAAGAGAGAUUUGUGGACCUCAUUUAAAGCAUAAAUACUUUUCAAUAUCUUUCUUUAAGCACAUGUGGUUCAUUCUCAUUGGAAAACCAAGAUAAUACUAUUGGCUAUAGAACACAAGUAGAUGGUCCAGGGGAAAUAUAUGAUCCAGCAUUCAUCACAUUUAACCUCACUUUGUGUAAGGAAGAAUAGUAAAUACUGUUUGUGCUACUGUGAGAAAGAGCAACACAAUGGCUGCGAGAACGGACAAGGAAGCCCAAGGACUAUGGAAAUAUUCCCUCCUCAGUUUCGCCAUCCAGGCGUUCCACUUCUUCGUGUAAUGUGCAUUCACAUUGUUGAAGAUCUCGAAAUAAUAAGGAUAAGAUACCGUGACGUGGUCAUAGGUCCUGUGAACAUAUGCGCAACCACCUUGUCAUCACCCAAGUAGUUCUUAAUAAUCCCUGCGCGGCGAAGCACCUCGACAUCCCCUUUAGAGGUUACGAGGCAAUCCGUGAAGGUAAUAUAAUCUGUGAAGUAGUUGAUGUCUCUGCUUUGAUGAUGCUGCUCGUACGCGAUCAGGUUUCGAAAAUUUGAUUCGGUGUCGUCCUCUACACAGAAGGCCAGUAACUCGAGUGUCCCGUUCUUGAAUUUGAUGUCGCUCAGUGCGCACCCUUGCGCAGCCCUAAACCUGACUCCUGACUCCGUUAGCUCAGUCGCCGAGGGCAUGACUGGUGUGCAGUUCAGGUGGGGCGUUUCAGGCAAGCCAGAAGUGCACCACGCGUGAUACAGAUGCAGAAGAUGUUCCCAGUUGCCAAUCGUCAAAUUUCGGUCGGGGUUUUUUCGUUCACCCUGGAAGUACAUGAUGACGACUUUGCUGAACUCAUGAUGCUCGUCCUCAGUCAGGUCAUAUAGCUUGCUCAAGACGAAAAGUGGGAGUUGGUUCUCUAGCAGCAGUAAAUCGCGCCUAAUGCUAUUUCGAUUCCCACAUUCAUUCAUAACCGGGUCGUCUUUGUCUGUCGCUAUCAUCCGAUUGUACUUACGGAAGAACUCAACGAUGAAACAUCCAUCAAUGAGCAUCAUCGCAAGAAACUUUUCUUGGGAGAGGUCAAUGGUUUCCGCAUAGCAAUUACGCGCCCGCUGUUCCAGUUCCCUGAGAGUCGGCAUAUACCUGUCGACACUCUCCUUUCUCCUAUCAAGCAAUUGCUGCAGGUAUCGCAGUUUUUGCUCCUCCAUGAAUUUGAACUUGCCAUUUCCAUAGUGAUAAGGGCCGAUGGCUAGGAUCUCUGGGUCAUAGGCUUUCUCGUUGACUUCGCGCAGUUGAUUACGAACCCUAAAUAUACAAUGCUCCGGCGAAGUGGGAGGCAUACUUCGAAGCAUAUUCUCGAUGUGGAUUGAGGCAUGAUCUCGCACCCUGAAACGGUCGUAGAUCCCAGCAUGCUGUAUUGGCUACGACAUAAUUAAUGUGAUAAUAAGCACUUGGUAAAGCAAGAUGAUUGUUUUACAUGUGCUUCCGAGGACAAAUUUGUAUUUUUGUGCGAAUAUUGAUGGACAAUACAAAUUAAGCACCGUGGUUGAACACGUGGUGUGGACAUUCAAUACAAACAGAUGGAUAGCUGAGGAAAAAUUACGAAACCCGUAAUAUUGCUCCUUAUAAUAUUGCUCUGAGAAUAAAUUAACAGCUGUAUGGGCUUUUUACUUUUGAGCUUCGGAGAACCCCUUUUGCUCUAUGGACGAGUUUUGACUUUUGGGAAGGCAAAAGAACAGCACAAGUACCAAACUUGGCAUGGAAUACUUAAGUGUCACUUCAUUUUGAAAAUUGGGAUAUCUAAUUUCUAAGUGUGGUGACCUUGGCCAAAAAUUCUACGUGACAAUUUUUUAAUAAUAUAACUCGUCUACGUGACUUGUCGGAGAGUUGAAUCAAUAAAAAAAAAACCAAAACUAUAUCGUUUUACCUUUUAUUUUGUUUUAUUUUAAUAUAAAUGUUCAUUAAAUUAAAUUAUUUUGGAAAAACAAAUGAAGAUUGCAAAACAGCGAGGGCUCAGCCCCUGCCGCCCUCACUGAGGAGGGUUGGCAAUGAUGGGGGAAGGGUUGAUUAGGGUCGCUGGCCCCUGGCCAAGGCUCGACGACCCUGGCCGACUAGUGGUGAGGGCCUACAUCCCUCACCCAGCUCUAGGGCGAGGGUCGUGGCCCUCCCCCAGAUCCAGCAAGACCCCCCAACCAGUGUUGGCCCUUGGCCUAUUAAGUGAGGGUCAGCGACCCUCGUCAGAUCUAGGAGAGGGCUACAACCCUCACCCCGGAUCUAAGUUAGGGCUUACGAGCCCUCACCACUAGGGCUCGGCUACCUCGAUUGACUCUACCCCCACCAUCGCUGGCUCUUCCGAGUGAUAGUGGCAAGGCGGCGGUGAGGAGGGCUAGCAUAGCCCUCACCAUUCUACAACCCUCUGUUUAUUUUUUAUUUUUAAAAAUUUUCAGUUUUAAAUUUAAGUUAAGUAAUAUUUAUAUUAAAAUUCAAAUUCGAGGGAAAACGAUGUCGUUUCAGCUUACUAACCACGUUAGCAUGCAAAAUAACAUUGUUUUUUUGCUUAUUUAGCCACGUCGUCAUUUUUCACUUGUCUCAUAAAAAAACUGCUACGUUAGCAUUUUGACUAGAUUUUCUCACCGUUAACACUUGACUAAUCUAUUUUGCUUCGAUUUCGACACUUAAAUAUAUAUUUCCUAACUUUUGACACUGGACUAAAUUUUGGCAUUCUAAGGAUCCAGGUCUCCUUUUAAGAAUUUGAGUCCCAAAUUUUUCUCUCUCCAGCCACCAAGCAAGGACAACCUUUUAGACACUAACAUGUGAAUUUUAAAACUAAUUGGGGUGUUCUUAUUGUGAGCUACUUACCAUCGAUGUUGAAGGCGUAAGAACCACGCUGAAUAGUUUUAAACUACAUAAGAAGAAUACUUGGAAUGAAAUUCGACUAAGAUAAAAUACAGAAAUGUUAUUAAACGCGAUGAGAACUGAGGAUUUCAGGUUAGAGAAGGUAAGACAAGCUUCUAGCUAAAUAACAUAUAAAUGACUGCUUUUUAAAAAAAUAUAAAAUUCUACCUAAGAAUAUAAGGAAUUUUUUGACCUAGGGAGGCAAGGCUGCCAGUGGCCUGGUACUACUGAUUAAAUGGUAGACAUAAGUUUAGAAAUUAUUUGUGUGAUAACCCUCUCUAGAAGGAUGAAAGCAAUCGGUAACUAAACCAAGAGAAGACAAAAUUGAUGCUUGAGUGACUGUCUAGCUGAGACAUGUUAGUUAACGUAAUUUUGGCGCCCUAAAUUAGAUCGAACGUGUAUGAUUUAAUUUUAAGUGCUUGCCAGAAUCAUGUUAAUUAAUGGACCAUAACUCAGAAUUGAAAUGGUCUCAUCCUUCAACAUUAUGUUUUUCUUUUCUCAGUGUGAAUAGGAAGGGAAAUUCGCAGGACUUACUUGAUUACGUUGGUGGUUGCUCAUUCUUCUCACCAAGCUAGACCAGCUACUAUCACACAGUAUCCAGUUCUUCUCUUUUUCUGGUUAGAACAUGCGAUCGUACAUGGCGAGAGCGAGAGAGAAGAGGGCGACGAUGCUAACAGAUAUUGAGGCGAUCGAUGGAGGAAGAAUCAGCAGGUUGGAUGCGUGAAAACAUGCGAUCGUACAUGGCGAGACCGAGAGAAUAAGAAACCUUGCGUUGUCGCGGAUAGAUGCAUUUCGGCUUGGGCUUUUCGAGCCCGGAUUUCCGAAGCCCGAGAGGCUCAUCCUCGUCAACCAUUUAGUUAAACAGAUGCUAAUUAAAUAAUCCUUUGUUCAAAUAUUAUUGUAAUUUACAAUUCCCUAGCAUGAAAUUACUACUAUCACCUAGAGGCAAAAUGAGACUACCGCAUACACCAACCAUUUAUACAAAAUUCAAACACAUUUUUCUUUGGCCCAUCGACCUUGGUCGUCACUACUUCCGACGGUAGAGGGUACUGCAAUAAGAAAUAUGAAGUCAUCCACAAGUUGCAUUGUACUAUGUGGACCAUUUCACAAAAUUUCACGGAAUUUGUGGAAAGAGUCCUACAUUCUACCUGCUAGCUAGAAAAUAAUAGUCUUCACGAUGGAGGCAACUUGUACAAUUGUGAUAAAUGCAUAUAUAAAAAUGCUUGCCAAAUUCUCUGGAUUGGUGUGGUAGAACAAUGUGUUAAGAGAUUAUCAAGUUGCGUAUUUAGAUUUCACAGACUAUAUGUAAACUAUUCUCUGUAUUCCAAUAAACUGUGAGAAAUAUAUGAUCACAUUUAUUUUUGCUUUGUGUAAGAAAGAAUAGUAAAUACUAUUUGCCCUACUACUGUGAGAAGGAACAUUUACUUGCUUGUUGUGGAGGUGCGUACGUAUGAAAGAUUUUGAUUGUUGUCUUAAAUUUCACAGUCAUACGAGCUUGCUUUUGGUAAAUAUAAGCGAGUGGAGAAAUUCUUGACAUUUUACGCACUUAAUAUGCUUCCUUUUCUGAUAUUUUUAGCAUCAUUAUUGGUAGAGAUCCUAGUUAGACUGCCCUUUAAGAGUAUCAUUCGUGUUUACUACAUCAUUGAAGGACUAGGUCUCGUGAACCGUCCUAGCUGACAUGAUUUUGCUUUAUGUACAUUAGUUUGGAUACACUUUAAUUUAGGAUACUACGAAAUCCCAAAUUAAUAUAAUUAUAAAUUUAUCUCAAAUUAAUUUUUUGACUACAAAAAACUCCAAACUAAUAUAUUUGUGAAAAAAUUUCCCCUAUUUUAGUUUUAGUAAAAUUUUACUGUCAAAUUUUUUAGUCGGAUGAUAUGUGAUAGUUAACUGGUAUAACAGUUUGAUGUUUUACGUUCAGUUUCUAGUUUUGUAGUUUUUCAUAAUAUUAAUCAAAUUUAACGGAAACUAAUAGAUGGUAUAUUUGACACAAAUAUAUCAGUUUGAAGUUCUUUGUAAUAAAAAAAUUAAUUCGAGGUAAAUUCGUUAUGUGUAUACUAGUUUGGGGCUUUUUGUGGUCAAAAAUUAAUCCGGGGUAAAUUUAUCGCAAGAGUACUGAAUUGAGGGUUUUCGUGGUAUUAUUCCUUAAUUUUAUGACACUUUAGUCUGUUCCAAAAUUUUAAUCAUUUUAUAAUGUUUUUAUAUUUUUAGAAAAUGGACCUCACGUGGCUAAAUAUGAAAUCUUGAUAAAGAGUGAAGUAUUGUUGUCAGCUGUAGGAUGAGCAAAAGAAAUGUCUGAAUCAGGAACUGCUCGGACCGAGGCAGGCAGACAAGUCCUCGGUUGCUGAAAACUUGAGUAAGUGGAUGUUGGUCCGGUUUUUUUUAUAUUAGGUGUGGAAUUCCCUAUUUAAUUUUUUUGUCAUAAAUAAAGCCCGAAGUCAGACUCCAGACUUCUCUGUCUCUCUUCUCUAACUCAUGAUCCCUCUCACUCUCAACUCGCUCAACUCACGACCUCGAGGCUCGUCGCUCAGUUACGCUCAAUCUCGGCCUCGACGGUUUUUGAGGCACCAAUUUGCCCCUCGCCUCUUGCCGCCCAUUUGCCUUAAUAUUUCCCUUUGUUUCGUCUGAUUUGUUUUUGUCAUGGUGCGUCUCGAUGUGUUUUACAUGGUUGCUAUCUGUUUAUGGUUUUCCUGUCUCCAUUUUUUUGAGUCGUGAUGGAUUCGCGAGGAGAUGAGAUGUCGAUGGGUCAUAGCUUUCGAGUCUGAUUCGCAUCCACCUGAGCUCAGACUUGAUGUGAUUUUACACAAUUUUACCUGUGGACAUGUUUCUGCUUAGCUAAAUAAUGAUCAGCUGGUGUUUUUUCUGCCUUUCUAUAUUCUAAUGUCGUUUGGUCAAGGGAGGUCAAGUGGAAAUUCUUUUAUUAAAAGUGGCGAAAGUCAUUUUGGUGAAGUGCUGUUUCAGGUUACUGGUAGUCGUGAUCUUUUAUGAAGAUUUCUUUGGAUUUUUGCCUGCAAGUGUGUAUGUUUGUCUGACGAUCAGGGAAGUCAUGUGUCCAUGGAUUCUAAAUUGUUGUAGGACAGGCAGGUAACUAACUUCAUGGGAUUGAUGUGGUUUGCUGCAUAUUGUAGGAUAACCUAGCUACAAUGGAACAAAAAAAGAAUGAAACUGGAAAAAAAAAAAAUUGAAGUGGCUGGUUCUCGAUGGAACCUGAAAGCAGCUUGAAACUGGCAGGUUUGGUUUCAAAGUCUGUUCUAGGGUCCACAGGGGUUGGUUCCCAGAAUAAAAACUUGGGAACGAGUCCUGAUAGGGUAGGUUCUAGGUUCCAGACUCGGAACUGAUUUGCUGUUAAAAUUGAGAAUGAACCUGAGUUUGAUCAAGAGGUUAACUCAAUGAGUGGAAGCUAGGUUUAGAUUUUGAGUAUUAUUUCUUUCUCAGAAAUGAAAUGUAAUGGAGGUAAAAUGCCUGUGCAACUUGUUCUGCCAGCAGUGUUUAUUACAUGAGUUCGCCUUUGCUUUCUCAACUUGCUCUAUUAACACAGUUAAGCAUUUCGUUUUGGGCCCUUGAUUUUAACUUUAUGAUUUGAUCUUUCUACUUCACAGGAUGGUGCAGCAAAAGAGAAAGAGAAGAGAAAGGAGAAGAAAAUGCAGAAGAGGAGGGAGGAAAAAGAGGUAGAAUUGAGCAAAAUGUCAACAAAAUCCCAAAUAAUGUUGCAUAAAGGCUGAAUUACACGGAAAUAUUAUGAAGGAUUUUUUCGGUGUCGAUAUAAAAAUCCAAUUUAACAUCACCUUCGGCCACCAACAACUCUGACAAAGGAUUUACAUCAUUGAAUGCCUAUUUACUUUGACACCAUUUCUGUUUGAGUGCUCGUAACACAUUCUUCUCAAUGUCUCUUUGCUUGACACGGGUUGAGGAAAAUUACUCUAUAAUAUUUUCAUCCAAUUUGGCCAUGUGAAGCAUUUUGGGAUUUUGUUGAGCAUAUUGCUCUUCCUAGGGACAUUUUUCUCAGCUUUGGCCUCUUUUUUCUUUCUCCUUCUCCUUUUCUUCUCCUUUGCCUUUCUCUACAUGGUCAAGCAGUUUGUCUCCUCAGCUUUUGCAUGGUGCCUGUGCAAAUUUUGGAUAUAUUGUCGAAGAGGGCUAGUGUUGAACCUGCUUGAAAGAAGCUAUCUGAACGGACUCCUGGCAGAGAUAAUUCCACAUAAUGGCCAGCCAUGUCAAGCAGACUUAAUUGUGCUGAGGAAAGCAGGUAAAGAGUUGAGAAUUGGUGAAAGGUAGUUGAUGUUUCUUAUGUAAUCUAAGAACAUAGUUCUAACUUGUCAUCCACUUUUCUUGCAGUAUUCAAAAGGCCCUUUGUUAAUUAUUUUUUACUGUUUUGCUUUGAGAAAUUAGCUGGUGGGGUUUGGGGCCAAGUACGUUGUUCAAUCUGACCUGCAAUCUCCUUCUUUCUUGCACUUCCUUUCACACCAUCACAAGACUCUUUUCUGUGUACACGUGCGUGCAUGUGUGCAUGGUUGUUUGGAUCGCAAUCCGGAUUGUAGGAUCACGAUCAUUUGAUUCUACAACUCAAAAACUUUGAACAAUUUGGAUUCUAAGAAAAAUGGUAGUUUGCAGGGGUCGUGAUCUGUAUCUUAGGAUGGCAAUCCCAACUACGAUUCCACUGUUCAAGCUUUAGAAGGCAAUUCUGCCUUUUUAGCUGGAGCAAAUAUGAAAUCGGGCCUCUGUUCCCUAGCACAUGUGCCACUUUCUUCUUAAUCAUGUUUAGGCUCCAUUUGGAAAAUAUAAGGCUUGGAAAAUUAAGAAAAAAGGGAUGAAGAUGAAUGAACAGUAGAAAGCGAAGAAGUGCAGAGACACCAUCACUUCGUCUUCAAUCUUGAAUAAAUGAUGAGAUGGGCAUCAACCACUGUAGGAUUUCUGAACUGUCCCGUCCUUUGGAGAUGAGAGAGACAAAGCUUCUGUCCUUCUGCAACCAGAUGAGAGAGACCUCUACAUCCUUGAGAAAUUGGAGCACGAUUUGACUUGGCCUAGUAUCAUAAUAUCUUUGGAUGUAUACUGAUUAGAACUGACCUUAAACUUUAAACAGUUGAAAAACCUAGAAUAGCCAGUGAAAGUGAGUUUGAGAGAGAGAGAGAGAGAGUUGGGGGGGGGGGGUGGGGGAGGAGUGGGCAGGUGGGCUAAAUUGGAGAGUGUGUCCCAGAUCGAGGGGAAUAAUAUAUUAUCCUUUGAAAUAAAGAAAGACACCAUAUGUAUUGCAAGGGAGAGAAGGACAAAAUAAAGGAUUAGAAAUUCGGAAAAGGCACAAAAGUAAUUUCUUAUCAGGCUUCUUCUUGAUUAUUAUGGUGAUUAUUUUAUGGUGAUCCUAUUAAAUACACCUUAAAAACUUGGGCAAGGAGAUUUUAUGCUUUUGCAUCUUUGACAUGGUGCUUCAAUUGUUAGUUGAAAAAGUGGCAACUAAGAAUUUAAACCAGAGUAAUCUCUCACAUGAGAAUGCUACCUUUAAGCUUCACUAUCCCUCUUUUAAAGGUUAAUAUGCAUCUACUUGCAAUGAUUUAAGCAAGAAUUUAAUACUUAAAAUAUGUAGGAUCUUAUGAUCUUGAUCUGAUCUGGAAGACUUCAGAAGGAUCCUACUUAGCAUCUCGAUCCUGAUAACCUUUUUGUGUGUGUGACAAAGGUUGCCUAGUUUUAAUAUUUAUUGUGAAUUUAUUUGAUCUUAGUUAUAUAUUUGACAGGAGAAAUAUGGAUCCAGUUGUAAAAUUUCUAAUGGGCGACUCCAGAGUGAAACUGCUUUUCUGUUGGGUAAGCAGCUUUCACAUGGAGCUUUUCUUCUCUAUGUCAGUAUCCGUCUUGUCCCUGUGCUCAUAUUGCAUGGAUGGAGACUGACUGGAGAACAUGAAGAUAGAGUAAGGGCAAUUUUACAGUUCCUCAUUAGUUUGGUGUAAGAUUGAUCUUUGAAGCAUAAUGGGCCUAAGAGCCUUGAGUGUAGGACUAGCCUCUUUAAUUUCCGCAAAAGAGUGGAGAAUCGGUCUUUGUUUGCUUCUAUUAUGGAAUCCUGUGGCCUCCUUUGCUUCAGAUGGAAUGAAUAGCUAGUAUUUGUUCUCCAACAAGUUAUAUUCACUUUGAUGCUUCAAGUUGUCCAUUUUAUCCAGUGAGGGUACUCAGCUAAUUAAUAUACUAUAUCAAGUAGUAUGUUAUAUGAAUAAAUUUUCCAUUUUAAUUUUGUGAUUGCAUCGCUUCUACCUGAAUAUAUAUGUAUAUCCUUGGAAGCGAGCCAUAUUUUACCCUGCUUGUUUAAACUUUAUGAUACUUGAAGUCUUUCACAUUAGCAAGAAUCCUUAACAUCCUUGGUUCAGUUGAAAAUUAACUUUGUACCCAUAAUAUGCCCCCCUUUCCAUUUUUGUAUUUUUCCUUAUAUCCUUGGUUUAAUUACACUAAUAUUUUGCUUACAAUGCCCAAUUGGUAAAAGCAUAGACUUAAACCACUGUGAGUAACCGUUUCUUUGGUAGCUAUUCAUUUUGAUAGCUUACCUGGACCAAAGUGGUGCUGUUUGUUCGUGCUUUCAUCUCUCUCAAUUCCUUGCCAAAUCCGCAAUUGUUGACCAAGAUUCAUCCAAAUGGAGCUUUGCUUCAACUUAGGUGAGUGAUUAUGAGUUGUAAUUGUUCCGAAUCCAUUGUUGUUUAUACCGUCUAUUGUUUUUUCUGAUUCUGUUCACCCCCCUUUCUAGCGUUUUUCUUGCUCUUUGGUUAUGCUCUUACAAGAGUGAGUGCCUUUUGCCUCUUCAAGAUUCCUGUGAAGAGUUUUUGGUUUUUGAUUAGUAUUUGAUUACCCUUCAAUAUUGCGUUUCUUACCUUUACAAGUUGUGGUUCUUCUUCUUACAUGCUCAUCGGAAGAGAUGGAUUAUAUUCUGCAUCGACAGCCAAAAUAAAUGGUCAAACACCCAAUUAAAAAAACAAAUGCCAAAAGUGGCAAGGGAGGAAGUGUCUUCUCAGUCGGAUAUGAAUGAAGAUUCGACUAACUCCUAUGAGCAUACUAAUCACAUGAGAAGUGCCACAUGGGGUUGUUAUACAUGUUUCAUGUACAUGUUUGCUUUUACGACUUAUUGAACCUGCUAACCUGUGGCUUCUAACCUGUGAUGGAUGUACUAUCUGCUGAUCAUAUGAUGUCGUUGUGUCAUUGGGUGCAUUGUGCUUGUUUUGGUAGGAAGGAGAGAUGUGUUGUGCAAUUUGGAAAAUUUUGUUACAAGGAUGAAUGCUUG
rnacentral:lncRNA from 1 species